GUUUGUAUUUGCCGAAGCUAACAAGCUGAGAAACUAACUAACAGACUGGCUUAAGUGGACCAACUAAUUAACAAAUCCUAAUAAAUUAGUAACUGCUUUGUAAAGCUUAUGCAUGAAUUUCUCCACACAUUCCUUCCAAGAUUUGAGCUAAAACUUCCAUUCUUUAAUCAAGAAAAGAAGGCUCCACCGCAAUCUGUUGUCAAAAAGGAACCGAAAAUGGCAGUAGUUGGUGAAGGAGAGGCUGAGAAUGCAAAGCAGAAAUCAAUUUCUGUGACCUUUCCAAACGCUCAUCCUAUAAUUCCUCCACCGCUCGAUGUCGAGCUCGAUCUGAGCAGCUGAAGGACUCCCAAUCCCGUAGUUAUCUGGCAGGUCUGUUUUGUAUGGUUUGGAUUUUUGUAUUUCUUCACCCUCCCAAAAGUAAAAGGAGGAUUUUUGAAACUUGGGUUUUAUUUUAUAUGAGUUGAUUUAGAUUUUUUUUUUCCUGGGAAUUUCUCUCUCGAGGUAAAAUGGAAGGUUUUAGAAGUGGAAUAAUGUAAUAUUAAGCAAAUAUUGGGAAUUUGGGAUCAGUGAAGUUUGAAGCGUAUUUUCUGGUUGAAGAGGAGCUGAAAAGUUUAAUCUUUGGUCAUGAGGAAACUUUCUGAAGAAAAUUGAGAAUAAAUGUAGGAAUAUGUGAGAAAUGGGAGUCAGCUUUUAGAAUAGAAGAUGAUGAAAUACUGGGUUCAUUUCAUUCUGUUAUUGGCUUAUAAGUUCUGCUUAUUAGUUAAGCUAUAUGUCAAUUUCAUGUUUCCUUUUCAAAUAUAUUGAUGUUACAACAUGGAAUUUUUUGCUGGAUGCUUCGAAUUUAACAUGUAGAAAUCAAAACUGUUUGAUAGUAACUUCUUGCUAUUCUAAUAGAAGGCGUUGAUUUUAGGGAAGACAUUUACUUCUGCAAAGGAAGACCAAGGUCUUUGAUGGAUUUGUUGUGAUGUGUAGUGGAUCCUUGGGUUUAUAUAUCAAACUCUACAUGUAACAUGUUUUCUUCAUUUCUUGCAGUUGUGAUAAUCUUGUGGCACCAGUCACAGUAAAACUGCAGUUAUUGUUAUGCCGUUUUCAUAACAAAGGAAUUAGAAUGUGGCAGAUGUUUAUGACUCAUAUCUUUCAAACAAAGUGCUAAGCAUAAAAGUAGAUGCAUGCACUGGAGGUUUUAUAUAUUGCCUAGUUGAUUGUGUAGUAAGAGUAGCUGCAUCGCAAAAUUUGUUGCCGUUGUUUUUAAGCUGAUUAUGUAUUUCUAUAUGGAGGUUUGUAACACAUAUAGUUGGUGGAGCACUUAAAUGGGGUUUACUGUGUUGUAUUGCCUGUAAUAUUUGCCCCACAGAAGCUGUUCAGAGGGAACAAAAAAAUUUUGCAGGAUUUUUCUUAGGAGGUCAAUUGAAAUGAAAUGGACAUGGUGGAUGAAUUCGAGAAGUUUUAUCUAGUUAGGGCAGAAGUGGGGGAAGCAAAUGAUUGUAGCUUAUUAAUAUGUAUGAGGACAUGCAUAUGAAUUACGGCUAAAUGUAAAUAUAUGAAAUAUGCAUAAGUUUACUAUUUCCUUUUAGCUCAUACUACUCUCUCGCUUCAUCCUCCUAGUGGUAAGAAGCUAGACAUUUGAAUUAUUCCUCUCUUUUAUGUUUUAUGAAAUCCAGAUUCUGACUAUGUCAUAUUGAUAGUUAGAAAUGUUAUAAUUUGCCAUUAUGUUGUUGGUUCAUUACAAAAAUGAAAAGCCUUAAAAUUCCACUAAAUUUUGAACUUCUAAAAUUUGAACUCUAGUCUUGAGCAAAUUAUAGAAUUGCUGCCUGCUUGUUUUCUCUGAAGAAACAUAAUAAUAAGUUUAGCUUUUAUUUGUCUGAAUCCAUAAUCAGUGGAAAUCCUGUUUUUUGUUGAAGUGUUGACCUCUUUCACAGGUUUUCUUUUUAGACAUUGUAACUAAUCUGUUUUUUGUGGCUUCUCUGGGGAUCUCUCUCUGUUGCCAAUGCCAAAUUGUUUUAAGUUUACUGUAUUCACUUCUAUUCGUCUGAGACGUCAGACGACAGACCACUGAUACAUUGACAUGAUCUUUUGUUUGGGGUUUUCUUAUUAAUUUUAUAUCGAGUUUCUUUCUUAUUGAAAUCACCUCAUCUACUUUCAGAUUUAUGUCCUUGGUGGGUUCGUUAUAUUGAAGUGGGUAUGGGCAAGAUGGAAGGAAAGAACAGAAAGAGGUAAGAAAGCAUCAUCUGAUGAUGAUCAAUCUUCUGAUGAGUAUCAAUCACCACCAGAUGAUCAUGAAUGAUUCUGAAGUUGUGUCUUACUGAAAAUGCAAUUUUAGCUACUGAAUGUAAAGCUGGUUAGGCUAGCCAACAGUGAUUUUUGUAAUUUCCUUUAUUGCUUUCAUGAACUUAUAUAACUUGUGCUUUUAACGUUCUCCUUUUGCACAGUUAAAACGUGGUUACAAUAUUGCAUCUGAAUACAUGAUAAGCAAUGGCAUAGGUGAAGUAAGCAAUCACAAACAGUUUUUGCGUUAAAU
rnacentral:misc_RNA from 1 species